rnacentral:rRNA from 1 species
AGAGUUUGAUCAUGGCUCAGAUUGAACGCUGGCGGCAGGCUUAACACAUGCAAGUCGUGCGAGAAAGUAUCUUCGGAUAUGAGUAGAGCGGCGGACGGGUGAGUAACGCGUAGGAAUCUACCUAGUAGAAGGGGAUAGCCCGGGGAAACCCGGAUUAAUACCGUAUACCUCCUUCGGGAGAAAGAAGGCCUCUCUUUGAAGCUUUCGCUACUAGAUGAGCCUGCGUAAGAUUAGCUUGUUGGUGAGGUAAAGGCUCACCAAGGCUACGAUCUUUAGCUGGUCUGAGAGGACGAUCAGCCACAUUGGGACUGAGACACGGCCCAGACUCCUACGGGAGGCAGCAGUGGGGAAUAUUGGACAAUGGGGGCAACCCUGAUCCAGCAAUGCCGCGUGUGUGAUGAAGGCCUUAGGGUUGUAAAGCACUUUCACUGGUGAAGAUUAUGACGGUAACCAGAGAAGAAGCCCCGGCUAACUUCGUGCCAGCAGCCGCGGUAAUACGAAGGGGGCGAGCGUUGUUCGGAAUUACUGGGCGUAAAGGGAGCGCAGGUGGUUCAUUUAGUCAGACGUGAAAGCCCCGGGCUCAACCCGGGAGGUGCGUUUGAUACUGGUGAGCUAGAAAUCAGAAGAGGAUAGUGGAAUUCCCAGUGUAGAGGUGAAAUUCGUAGAUAUUGGGAAGAACACCAGUGGCGAAAGCGGCUACCUGGUCCGAUUUUGACGCUGAGGCGCGAAAGCGUGGGUAGCAAACAGGAUUAGAUACCCUGGUAGUCCACGCCGUAAACGAUGUAUGCUAGUUGUUGGGGGGAUGCCCCUCAGUGACGCCGCUAACGCAUUAAGCAUACCGCCUGGGAAGUACGGUCGCAAGAUUAAAACUCAAAGGAAUUGACGGGGGCCCG